CAGUUGCUAUGGCAACGAGUCUGUGUGUAGCCUGGCCAAUCCAGAGAGCGAGAAAGAUGUGGUUUUGAGUUGAACUUCAAUGGGUUUUCUCUUUGCUGUAGAGCACAGCAUGAAAUUAAUAAUAUCUACAUGUCCAAGUUUGAUUGAGUAACGGAAUUAUUCUACGGCAACAGCGCAGCUAUGGAUGACAUGUAAAAGAAUUGUCUUUUUGCCCUCCAGCGUUGUCCGCAUGCACAAAAUUUCCUUAUGUAAACAAUAACAUGCAGGGGGUCUAUAUUUGUAUAUCUGAUUAUGAUUAAGUCAGUGCCUCACCAGCUAUGAACCCCACCACACGCAACUGCAAGAUACACAAGUGUACUAAGUUUCAUAACUCUGGAUUAAAGCAUGGCUUGGGGCUGAUCAUUUAAAAUAUUCUAGGGAGCGCUUUGCAUAAGCGACACACUUUGGGUGUCACUGUCUCCCAGAUGGACCGUCUCGUUGCAAAGAAACAAGCUCAGGGCUCCCAUUAAUUUGUCGUUAUCGUGAGUUAAAAUUUUCAUGAAAGUAAAAUGUUCGUUUUGUGGCGCAUCUGUACCUUAUUUUGAAGGGAUGUAGAAAUAGUACCAUAGCGACCAGAGUCAGAGAGCGUUAGGGCAGUGGUCGAGACGGGAGGAGUAGAGCUUAUGAGUCUUGGGUCUGGUUCACACGGUACAAUUUAAGGAUUGAGGGCCGAUUUUUCAAACCUCUGUGACCACAGAGCCGAUAAAAGUCCAACAGGUUCGAUCAGUUUGUGGUGUCCAGCCACACGGCAGGAGCAACACACCACACACGAAGCGAUGUCACUCACGAACAUCCCGAUUCCAGAAGAAAAUCCUCUAAAACCCCCAACAUACCAUACGGGAAUUUAGAAUUAACAAACACAGAGGACAAUGUAGAAGCAGUAGUGAUAGUUUGUGGACUCAUUUUAAGCGAGCUAGUGUCAGCAUUAAGCACUGACUGAAUGAAUAGCCUUAUCGUUAUAACUAGAUUAUGUCAGGUUAAUUGAUAGCUGAAAAGUUACCGGGUUUAUCGACUGUGGUACCAAUUUCGCUUCAGUUCCUCUCAUCAUUUCUGUUGAUAUUCCUUGUACAAAAUGCUGAAUAAACAUUCACACUGUUUCCACAUAUCAUCUCCAAUGUCCACCUGACUCUCUGUUGCUCGAUGUCAGCUGUUUGGGAUUCCCGUCUGUGCUUAGGUCACCGCGCUUUCUGAUUGGCUACCUGUCACAUUCAACAGGUUGCGUUCUCGCUCCCAGUCAGGGAAAACCCCCACAGGCUGCGAUAGUCAGGCCAAGACAAUCAAACAUGUUGAAUAUGCCCGAUUUUAGAUCGGAGCGGUCCCGACGUUCUACAUAACACACCCCACUGUGGGAUGAUGGGUCACGAUUAUUACAAAUGACAACAAGACUGUCAUAAGGAGAAAAUUAGGGCAAAAAACUGAAAAUCGUGCCAUGUGAACUAGGCUUUAGCAGGCACACCAACAUACAGUUCACCCCACAAUCUUCCCUCCCCCCCGGACUGCAGUAAAAUUGCCUGGUCCACGGUGAUAAAAAGGUUGGGGACCACCGCUGUAGGGCACCUGAUGAUCAAUCACUGAAAGUUUGGUGCCUCUGUGAGCUUUUGUUGUAGGAGAUGUAACAGGUUCAUGUCUCAUAGCGAGUAGGCAAACUAUGACCCCUGGCAACACCCCUUCUGCAUGCACAAAAGUUCUGGAGGGAAAAGGUACCAGAAGUGGAGUCAACUGAGCAAAGACCCUGCCAUCACGUUUUAGCUGAGAACAAUAUUCUACUUUUAUUGUCACUUCGAGGUGAAAAUUUCGGACAAAAAAUCUGGUUAUCAAUGGAAUUGCUGAGUCACCAAACGAGACUUGUGUUGAGACAGAGGAAAAAGUGAAGACAAUUCUGUCUGAAAAGUUAAACCUACAACAUGAGGUUGAGAUGGAGAGAGCUCACCGCACUGGGAAAGUUGGAACUUAGAGGAGACAGACUGGACGAUUGUCGUCAAAUUCCUGAGGUACAAGGUAAUAUAGUACCUGAGAAAACCUUUUGAUGCUCUCUGUCUCGUCUCAGACUCGGCCACAUUUGGUCUCGGUCAUUGAGGACUCGGGGAUUUUAUUUCAAGACCAGCCGAGACCACAACUGUGGAAAUGUCCCUAAAUUGUCAGCAUAUUGUCCAGUUUAUAUUUGUCAACAUUCUUGUUUUCACUGAAUGCAAAACAUAUCGAUUCAAAUCGAAGCAAUAACGUGACUUACUAAUUACGCGUUUUUGUUACCGCUGCCACUCGUUGCCUUCCCCUUUAAUUUGCACGAGGCACUCUGAGACAGUGUGCAGUUUUUGUCUCGGAGUGGGAGAGGAUGCCCAGCUAAUCGUAACAAAUUUAGAUUGUAACACAGAGAUUGAGGCAAAGCAGGAGACAUAAGAAUUCGAAUUGAUAAUUAUAAUUUAUUUCAGCCCUAAGUAUUUAAUAUCUAGGUGUUUUUAUGAGAAUGUGGAUCUUUCAGAUCAAUAUGAGAAGCAGUUUUUAUCAUAUUUCACAUUUUAUUGUAUCAUGUAGUGUGCGGCGCCGGUCUUGGUCUUGACUCCGUCUCGACUUCCCUUGGUCUUGAUCUGACUUCGUCUUGGACCCUAAAAGUCUUGGUCUUGUCUGGAUUUCGAUGCACUUGGUCUUGACUUGGCUUUGGGUUAGAUGGUUUUGUCUACAACCAGUCACCAGGUGACUGGUACAAGGACAGAUCAUCUAUUCUGCAGCGCACCAAGGCAGUUAAGGGAUCGAAAAUCUUCAUUAAGGAGGACUUCACAAAUGCUGUAAGGAAGAGGAGGGGGGAACUGAUGCCGGAUUUACGAGCAGCUCACCAAAGAGGGGAUAUUGCUCAUCUCCACUAUAAGUUGAUUACCCAUCUCCGUUCGAGUACCCCAAAAUGCAGUCUGCACCCAGCAAAGCCAUUCAUUAUCCAGAUAUACAAAUAUUAUCAUGGCACAAAGCACAGCUGACGCGUACCCUAGAUGGAAAAACUUGCUACGGAUCACUGAUUAUGAGGAUGUGGAACUCACUACAUUUCAGUACAAAGCCCAUCAUCAGCAAGAUAUUGAAAAUGACAUUGAUCCUGAUAGUUUUUUUUACAGGUAUCAACGACAGUUGUCACUAUUACACUGAUGAGUAGUUUAACAGCAGCAUUAAAACUGAACAGAAGCUUUCAAUAAUUCACUUUAAUAGCAGAUGCUUGCAUGCAAAUUUCUACAAAAUCAAACAGUACCUCUAACAACUGUCACAGACUUUUAAUAUCAUUGCAUGAUCAGAAACGUGGCAGUGAAAAGGGCAUGGACUUUGAAAUUGAUGGUUACGAAAUGGU